CCUAACACAUGCAAGUCGAGCGGUAGCACAGAGAGCUUGCUCUCGGGUGACGAGCGGCGGACGGGUGAGUAAUGUCUGGGAAACUGCCUGAUGGAGGGGGAUAACUACUGGAAACGGUAGCUAAUACCGCAUAACGUCGCAAGACCAAAGUGGGGGACCUUCGGGCCUCAUGCCAUCAGAUGUGCCCAGAUGGGAUUAGCUAGUAGGUGGGGUAAUGGCUCACCUAGGCGACGAUCCCUAGCUGGUCUGAGAGGAUGACCAGCCACACUGGAACUGAGACACGGUCCAGACUCCUACGGGAGGCAGCAGUGGGGAAUAUUGCACAAUGGGCGCAAGCCUGAUGCAGCCAUGCCGCGUGUAUGAAGAAGGCCUUCGGGUUGUAAAGUACUUUCAGCGAGGAGGAAGGCGUUAAGGUUAAUAACCUUAGCGAUUGACGUUACUCGCAGAAGAAGCACCGGCUAACUCCGUGCCAGCAGCCGCGGUAAUACGGAGGGUGCAAGCGUUAAUCGGAAUUACUGGGCGUAAAGCGCACGCAGGCGGUCUGUCAAGUCGGAUGUGAAAUCCCCGGGCUCAACCUGGGAACUGCAUUCGAAACUGGCAGGCUAGAGUCUUGUAGAGGGGGGUAGAAUUCCAGGUGUAGCGGUGAAAUGCGUAGAGAUCUGGAGGAAUACCGGUGGCGAAGGCGGCCCCCUGGACAAA
rnacentral:rRNA from 1 species